GAUCCUGGCUCAGGAUGAACGCUAGCUACAGGCUUAACACAUGCAAGUCGAGGGGCAGCGGGAUUGAAGCUUGCUUCAAUUGCCGGCGACCGGCGCACGGGUGAGUAACGCGUAUCCAACCUUCCGUACACUCAGGGAUAGCCUUUCGAAAGAAAGAUUAAUACCUGAUGGUAUCUUAAGCACACAUGUAAUUAAGAUUAAAGAUUUAUCGGUGUACGAUGGGGGUGCGUUCCAUUAGGUAGUAGGCGGGG
rnacentral:rRNA from 1 species